CGACGUGGGGCUCAAACUCACGAAUCGUGAGAUCGUGACCUGAGCUGAAAUCCAGUCGGACGCUUAACCGACUGAGCCACCCAGGCGCCCCUGGUGUUCCUGACUCCACUUGCCACCUGAAGGCACGCUUUCUGGUUUCCCCGUGUCUGCCUGGUGCUCCUUCAAGCCCCUGGUGCUUGAUUCAUCAGACCACGAUGAUCUGCUCUGGGGACAUGAAUGAAGAGUGCCAGGCUGACCAGAUCCUGGAAAGUUGGAUAAAAGGUCCAGACUCUGAGCAGCAGCCAGCCAGCCAGUAUAUACAAAUGGUGGACCAGUCACUUGCUUAGUGACCACAUCGGUGCCACCUACUCUCCCACAAAAUGAAGAACAGGGUCACUUAGCCUCCUAGGUAAUUAAUCCAGUUACCUGAAAACUCAACCCUGUGCCUUUCUGAAGGCCCAGACAUAAAUUUUUUUUUUGGCAAGUCAAUAUAUAUAUAUAUAUUUUUUUGUCAUUAAGAAUUUGGACUUUGAAGUCAGACAGAACUUACCCUUAAAUUCUGGCUCAGAGCUUCCUAGUCGUGUUACUUUGGGCAAUUCCUCUUAGCUUUUUGAGCCUCAGUUUCCCUAGCAGCAAAAGGAUAAUAAUAAAAUGUGACCUAUGACAUUGUUGGAGGAUUGGAUUGAAUAAUGAGCAAAAAGGGUUAUGCAUGAUGCCUGACAAAAAUUAAUUACUGGAUAAAUAA